rnacentral:rRNA from 1 species
UACGUAGGGGGCGAGCGUUGUCCGGAUUUAUUGGGCGUAAAGAGCUCGUAGGCGGUUCGAUAAGUCGGACGUGAAAUCUCCACGCUCAACGUGGAGGGGCCGUUCGAUACUGUCGUGACUCGAGUCCGGUAGGGGAGUGUGGAAUUCCCGGUGUAGCGGUGAAAUGCGCAGAGAUCGGGAGGAACGCCCGUAGCGAAGGCGGCACUCUGGGCCGGUACUGACGCUGAGGAGCGAAAGCCAGGGGAGCAAACGGG